rnacentral:rRNA from 1 species
UACGUAGGGGGCUAGCGUUGUCCGGAAUCAUUGGGCGUAAAGCGCGUGUAGGCGGUCCGGUAAGUCCGCUGUGAAAGUCGGGGGCUCAACCCUCGAAUGCCGGUGGAUACUGUCGGGCUAGAGUGCGGAAGAGGCGAGUGGAAUUCCUGGUGUAGCGGUGAAAUGCGCAGAUAUCAGGAGGAACACCUAUUGCGAAGGCAGCUCGCUGGGACGUAACUGACGCUGAGACGCGAAAGCGUGGGGAGCAAACAGGAUUAGA